CACGGGGGGAGCAAGCGUUGUUCGGAAUCACUGGGCGUAAAGGGCGUGUAGGCGGUCAGGUAAGUGGGAUGUGAAAUGCCCCGGCUCACCCGGGGACCGGCAUCCCAUACUGCUUGGCUUGAGUACGGGAGAGGAGUGUGGGAAUUCCUGGUGUAGCGGUGAAAUGCGUAGAUAUCAGGAGGAACACCGGUGGCGAAGGCGCACAUCUGGCCCGAUACUGACGCUGAGGCGCGAAAGCUAGGGGAGCAAACGGG
rnacentral:rRNA from 1 species